CUCGUAGUCGCAGGCUUCACACGCGUGCAGUAGCCUGACAACAGCAGCAGCAGCAGCAGGCGGAAAUGGGGAGAGAGGGGCACCGCACCGUUUAACAAGACACUCUUCAACACAACACGACCAAUAAAACAAUUCACCAUCGAGUAUUAAAAGAAUAUUGUCUCAGGCCCCCUCCCCCAUCUGCAGCAUUAAGAGUAACUCGAGGGGGAAAAGAAUGAGCUGAUUUUAAGAGCUCUGAUAAUGAUGCCCAGAAUAAGUGCGGCCUGGUCACACAGCAAAGUGGGAAACGUACACGCUUGAGCAUUAGAAGGCCAUGAUGCAAUGAGAUAAACACUGGAUGACUGGAGGUCCCCUGCUUAACAGUCUCUAAGCAUGGCUGGCCUACAGCUGGUGACCCCUGCCUCCUCACCCAUGGGGCCCUUCUUCGGUCUCCCGUGGCAACAGGAAGCUAUUCAUGACAACAU